AUUAAAUAGCCAGCAUCAGCUGCGCAAAGGUGGGGUCGUGAUGGAGACGCGAAUGAGGAUGAAUUUAACGAUCAGUUCCGAAGAGUAGCUAUUCUCUUUGUUUUUUUUAGACUAAUACCAAGUUUACCCAGGAUCGGAUUCACUCUUUGCGUCCGUUGGACUACACGUCUCCUGUUGUUCUUCGUGGCCUUUCUCCGCUGGAGAUCUGUUAGCGGAUUGGAUUGUCUGACUGACCACAACCUUUUUGUAUAAGGUGUUACCGUACAUAAUCUGAUUCCACCAACAUGUUUCCAACCCCUAGCUCUGCACUAGGUGAAGCCCUGCUGAAAAAUACCCCAAAGGGAUGACAUUUUUGGUAGACGAGCAUUACCUUGUGGUAAUGGAGCACAACAAGAUUGUGGGACAAGAACAAGCAAGGGACACUGAAAGGAGACAUGCAGUACCAGCAAAUCUCCUGCAAGAGGUCCAAACAGUUGGUGGUUGGUCUACGAGCCCUACACCACUUCUGGCAGACUUAUCCAGCUGGCCGUACACCGCAGAUGGGACAAAACCAUCACCACAAACACUCUGCUUCCACAGCCCACCAUGCCAAACACCAUUGCCAGUGUACCGGAUAAAGGACCAUAAAAUAAAUAUGGAUUUUUCUAUCAAUCCUCAAUUUGUCUGGCUUUAUGGAUUCACAGAAGGUAUUUAUACAAGAUGUAUAGGGCUCUGUAACAUCAACCCGAUUUUAGACAUUCAGAUAUAUCCCAAAAAUAUUUAUUUGUCAAUCUAAAAUACAGGGGAGUGAAAUAUUUCAUGCUAACUCAAAAAUAGCUAGGUAUUAAAAGUUAUGGUAAAAGUAUGAACAGUGGUGUACAGUUCAGUGUGUAACAAAGUGCAGAGAACUGAAGCUACAGAUUGUUACAACAGAUAAUGUGAUUCAACCAAAGAUUUUUGGUUUCAAUUACUGGGAAAAAGAGGAAAGGUACCGUUUGGUGUAGCACAGAGAAUUUUUGACCAACCUUAGCUUGGCAAUGGUGCCUUAGUCCUUAAAACAGGAGUCUCAAAAUGUCCAUGUCCAGUUGCAAGGGUCCAUUUUGAAUUUAGAAAAUGCUCCGUUAAAACAAAUGCUUUAUUGUUUCAUUAACUAAUCCAACAGUGUACACCGCCAUCUUAUCUAUUUCAAGUUCUCUCAUUGAUCGAGACAGGUGUGUCCACUCCAAAGUGUCGCAAGACAUGUCUCGGGCCUCCCGAGUGGCGCAGCAGGGCAUGAUGGGUCACUACAGAUUUGGGUUCAAUUCCGGGCUGUGUCACAGCCGGCUGCGACCGGGAAACACAGACUCAAAUGGCCAAGCGUCUUCCAGGUUAGGGGAGGGUUUGGCCGGCCGGGAUGUCCUUAUCCCAUCCCGCUCUAGUGACUCCUGUGGCAGGCCGGGCACAUGCACGCUGACAUGACUGCAUGUUGUACGGUGUUUCCUCUGACACAUCGGUGCGGCUGGCUUCUGGGUUAAGCGAGCAGUGUGUCAAGAAGCAGUGUGGCUUGACAGGGUCAUAUUUCGGAGGACGCAUGGCUCUCAACCUUCACCUCUCCCGAGUCCGUACUGGAGUUGUAGCGAUGGGGCAAGACAGUAACUAGCAAUUGGAUAUCAUAAAAUUGAGGAGAAAAAGGGGUAAGUCUUUUUUUUAUGAAAUAGACACCUGUCUUGAUCAAUGAGAGAACUUGAUAGACUAGAUGGUGGCAUAGACAUUGUUGGAUUACUUCAUGGAAAAUUAUAUUUUUUAAACAUUUUCUAAAUUCAAAACAAACCCCAUGCAACUGGACACAGACAUUUUAUGAGACUCUUGUUUCCACGAAUCAAGGACAAAGACAGCAUCGCCAAGAUAAGAUUGAUUAACUUCUGUGCUACACCAAACUAUCCUGUAACUUCCAGUAAUGAAUACCAAAAAUAUUUGGUUAAAUUACAUAAACUGGAGUAACAAACUGUGGCUAAGAGAACUUCUGAUCAGCAGAUGGGAGACGUAGUCAUGAUGAAAUUGCCAUUCCAAAGAAACGUUGAGUAAGUUCAGGGGACAUUUGUAUAGUUGUGGGAGGAGUGUUGUCAUAAUAAAACUGCC
rnacentral:lncRNA from 1 species